rnacentral:piRNA from 1 species
UGGCGGAUCACUCGCGAUUAGGAGCUGG